rnacentral:rRNA from 1 species
CCUACGGGAGGCAGCAGUGGGGGAUAUUGCACAAUGGGGGGAACCCUGAUGCAGCGACGCCGCGUGGGUGAAGAAGGGCUUCGGGGCGUAAAGCCCUGUCAGCAGGGAAGAAAAUGACGGUACCUGAAGAAUAAGCCUCGGCUAACUACGUGCCAGCAGCCGCGGUAAUACGUAGGGGGCAAGCGUUAUCCGGAUUUACUGGGUGUAAAGGGGGCGCAGGCGGCAAUGCAAGCCAGGAGGGAAAGCCCGGGGCCCAACCCCGGGACUGCUGUUGGAACGGAGUGGCUGGAGUGCAGGAGGGGUAGGCGGAAUGCGUGGUGUAGCGGUGAAAGGCGUAGAUAUCAGGAGGAACACCGGUGGCGAAGGCGGCCUGCUGGACUGCAACUGACGUUGAGGCCCGAAAGCGUGGGGAGCAAACAGGAUUAGAUACCCUAGUAGUC